rnacentral:snoRNA from 1 species
UCACAAUGAUGGCAGUACUUAUCAGCAGCAGUUCACCUUGUGAGUGUUGGUACUUUGAGUCUGAGUGA